rnacentral:lncRNA from 12 species
GAAAGCCUAAGUUUUCCCAACUUCUUUGGAUUUCACAGAAAAAAAAAAUGUUUUGGAGAUAACAGUGCAGGUGGAGGAGGAGAUAUAUGUACCAAGCCAGACAAGAGAAAAACCUGUAGAUACUAAAAUUGUAAUAAAAUUUUCAGGGCUACCAAACCCCUUGUUUACAAUACUUGGAAAGAAAAUAUAGGGCAUCCUUUUAUGCUGGCU